UACGGGGGGGGCAAGCGUUGUUCGGAAUUACUGGGCGUAAAGAGCUCGUAGGCGGUUUGGUAAGUCUGGUGUGAAAUCUCCACGCUCAACGUGGAGGGGCCACCCGAUACUGCCAUGACUGGAGUCCGGUAGAGGAGUGUGGAAUUCCGGGUGUAGCGGUGGAAUGCGUAGAGAUCCGGAAGAACACCGGUGGCGAAGGCGGCCUGCUGGGCAGUAGCUGACGCUGAUGCGCGACAGCGUGGGGAGCAAACAGG
rnacentral:rRNA from 1 species